GCUUGCUUUGGCCACACAUUUACCAAAAUUGAAAUGAUACAGAGAAGAUUAGAUGGCUUCUGCGUAAGGAUGACACGCAAAUUCAUGAAGAGUUUCAUAUUUUU